rnacentral:rRNA from 1 species
UGUGCCAGCAGCCGCGGUAAUACGUAGGGUGCGAGCGUUGUCCGGAAUUACUGGGCGUAAAGGGCUCGUAGGUGGUUUGUCGCGUCGUCUGUGAAAUUCCGGGGCUUAACUCCGGGCGUGCAGGCGAUACGGGCAUAACUUGAGUACUGUAGGGGUAACUGGAAUUCCUGGUGUAGCGGUGAAAUGCGCAGAUAUCAGGAGGAACACCGAUGGCGAAGGCAGGUUACUGGGCAGUUACUGACGCUGAGGAGCGAAAGCAUGGG